rnacentral:lncRNA from 1 species
GUAGAAGAACACACAGCUUGUCAUCUGACAUACCAUUAUAAACUCUCUUCCUAUCCAUUUCCAUAUUAAUAUACUUCCUCAAUUUAUGGUUUUGAAAUAACAUCUUUUUGAUAGUCCCCCAACAUUGAAUUUGAAUAAGCAUCUGAAUUUUAUAUACCCUAAAUUUCAGUGAAUACUUUCAGUGAAGUUGAAUUCUGAUUUUUUUUCUCUCAGCUGUGAGUCCUUCAUUCAUUAAUUCAUCUGGAGUCUGAAUUGGGUACCCUCAA